AUUAGGUGAAGUCAAUGAUCCCAUGCUGCCGAGAAAAGCCUCUAGCGAGCUUCGAGCGGCCCGUACCCCUAACCGACACAGGUGGUCAGGUAGAGAAUACCGAGGCGAUCGGGCGAACUAUGGUUAAGGAACUCGGCAAAUUACCCCCGUAACUUCGGGAGAAGGGGGGCCACAGACUGUCAAACUCCAUGCGGGUGGCAGCGGUAGGUGGCCGCAGAGACCAGGGGGAAGCGACUGUUUACUAAAAACACAGGUCCGUGCGAAGUCGUAAGACGAUGUAUACGGACUGACGCCUGCCCGGUGCUGGAACGUUAAGGGGACCGGUUAGUCCGCAAGGGCGAGGCUGAGAACUUAAGCGCCAGUAAACGGCGGUGGUAACUAUAACCAUCCUAAGGUAGCGAAAUUCCUUGUCGGGUAAGUUCCGACCUGCACGAAUGGCGUAACGACUUCCCUACUGUCUCAACCAUAGGCCCGGCGAAAUUGCACUACGAGUAAAGAUGCUCGUUACGCGCGGAAGGACGGAAAGACCCCGGGACCUUCACUAUAGCUUGACAUUGGUACUCGAAUUGAAUUGUGUAGUAUAGGUGGGAGACUAUGAAGCUCGGACGCCAGUUCGGGUGGAGUCAAACUUGAAAUACCACUCUGUUGAAUUUGGGUAUCUAACUUCGGACCGUGAUCCGGUUCAGGGACAGUGUCUGGUGGGUAGUUUAACUGGGGCGGUUGCCUCCUAAAAUGUAACGGAGGCGCCCAAAGGUUCCCUCAGCCUGGUUGGCAAUCAGGUGUUGAGUGCAAGUGCACAAGGGAGCUUGACUGUGAGACUGACAGGUCGAGCAGGGACGAAAGUCGGGACUAGUGAUCCGGCACCUGCGAGUGGAAGCGGUGUCGCUCAACGGAUAAAAGGUACCCCGGGGAUAACAGGCUGAUCUUCCCCAAGAGUCCAUAUCGACGGGAUGGUUUGGCACCUCGAUGUCGGCUCGUCGCAUCCUGGGGCUGGAGUAGGUCCCAAGGGUUGGGCUGUUCGCCCAUUAAAGCGGCACGCGAGCUGGGUUUAGAACGUCGUGAGACAGUUCGGUCCCUAUCCUCCGCGCGCGCAGGAGACUUGAGAAGGGCUGUCCCUAGUACGAGAGGACCGGGACGGACGAACCUCUGGUGUGCCAGUUGUCAUGCCAAUGGCACGGCUGGUUAGCUACGUUCGGAAGGGAUAACCGCUGAAAGCAUCUAAGCGGGAAGCCUGCUUCAAGAUGAGGUCUCCCACCCCUUGAGGGUUAAGGCCCCCAGCUAGACCACUGGGUUGAUAGGCCAGAAGUGUAAGCCUGGUAACAGGUUCAGCCGACUGGUACUAAUAGGCCGAGGACUUAACC
rnacentral:rRNA from 1 species